rnacentral:rRNA from 1 species
AUUGAACGCUGGCGGCAGGCCUAACACAUGCAAGUCGAACGAGUGGCGGACGGGUGAGUAAUGUGUCGGAAAGUGCCUGAUGGAGGGGGAUAACUACUCGAAACGGUAGCUAAUCCCUCAUACUCUCAGAUGUGCCCAGAUGGGAUUAGCUUGUUGGUGGGGUAACGGCUCACCAAGGCGACGAUCCCUAGCUGGUCUGAGAGGAUGACCACCCACACUGGAAAUGAGACACGGUCCAGACUCCUACGGGAGGCAGCAGUGGGGAAUAUUGCACAAUGGGCGAAAGCCUGAUGCAGCCAUGCCGCGUGUAUUAAGAAGGCCGUCGGGUUGUAAAGUACUUUCGGCGGGGAGGCGUUACCCUCAGAAGAAGCACCGGCUAACUCCGUGCCAGCAGCCGCGGUAAUUC